rnacentral:rRNA from 1 species
GUCCACGCCGUAAACGAUGAGUGCUAGCUGCUGGGAAUGUUUACCGUCUCAGUGGCGAAGCUAACGCAUUAAGCACUCCGCCUGGGAAGUACGGCCGCAAGGCUAAAACUCAAAGGAAUUGACGGGGCCCGCACAAGCGGUGGAGCAUGUGGUUUAAUUCGAAGCAACGCGCAGAACCUUACCCAGGCUUGACAUCUCGGGAGCCCUGCGGAAACGCGGGGGUGCCUUCUCACGAAGGAGCCCGAAGACAGGUGCUGCAUGGCUGUCGU